rnacentral:rRNA from 1 species
AACGAACGCUGGCGGCGUGCCUAACACAUGCAAGUCGUGCGAGAAAGUUCCUUCGGGAGCGAGUAAAGCGGCGCACGGGUGAGUAACACGUAGGUAACCUGCCCCCCAGUCUGGAACAACUAGAGGAAACUCUAGCUAAUGCCGGAUGAGACCACGAUCCCUUCGGGGGUUGCGGCCAAAGAUGGCCUCUACUUGUAAGCUAUCGCUGAGGGAUGGGCCUGCGGGCCAUUAGCUUGUUGGUGAGGUAACGGCUCACCAAGGCUGUGAUGGCUAGCUGGUCUGAGAGGAUGUCCAGCCACACUGGGACUGAGACACGGCCCAGACUCCUACGGGAGGCAGCAGUGGGGAAUAUUGCGCAAUGGGCGAAAGCCUGACGCAGCGACGCCGCGUGGGUGAUGAAGGCC